rnacentral:rRNA from 1 species
GACGAACGCUGGCGGCGUGCUUAACACAUGCAAGUCGAGCGGUAAGGCCCUUUCGGGGGUACACGAGCGGCGAACGGGUGAGUAACACGUGGGUGACUUGCCCUCAGCUCUGGGAUAAGCCUGGGAAACCGGGUCUAAUACUGGAUAUGACUCCAUGACGCAUGUUGUGGGGUGGAAAGCCUUGUGCGGCUGAGGAUGGGCCCGCGGCCUAUCAGCUUGUUGGUGGGGUGAGGCCUACCAAGGCGACGACGGGUAGCCGGCCUGAGAGGGCGACCGGCCACACUGGGACUGAGACACGGCCCAGACUCCUACGGGAGGCAGCAGUGGGGAAUCUUGCGCAAUGGGCGAAAGCCUGACGCAGCGACG